CUGGCGCGCUUCCUCCUCCUCCUCUUCGGUCGCGGCCGCGGCCACCGCCUCCCCCCCAGCCGUGGGCCCCGCGCUCGGCUCGGCAGGCAAGCGUGUGCCUCUCUGGCUCAGGGCCUCAGUUUCCCCAUCGGGACAACGGAGAAGCCCUGAUUCGUCUGCCUGGAAUCCUGCUAGCUCCCAGCCAAGCCAUUGGCCGCCUCCCACUCGCCUGUUGAUUGGCCGGCUGAGCAGCCUCCUACCCAGAACGCAAACAGUUCGGACGAGGCUUUGGGAGCUUAGGG